rnacentral:sRNA from 1 species
CUUGGUCAUUUAGAGGAAGUAAAAGUCGUAACAAGGUCUCCGUUGGUGAACCAGCGGAGGGAUCAUUACCGAGUCUAACAACUCAUCAACCCUGUGAACAUACCUAAACGUUGCUUCGGCGGGAACAGACGGCCCCGUAACACGGGCCGCCCCCGCCAGAGGACCCCCUAACUCUGUUUCUAUAAAUGUUUUUUCUGAGUAAACAAGCAAAUAAAUUAAAACUUUCAACAACGGAUCUCUUGGCUCUGGCAUCGAUGAAGAACGCAGCGAAAUGCGAUAAGUAAUGUGAAUUGCAGAAUUCAGUGAAUCAUCGAAUCUUUGAACGCACAUUGCGCCCGCCAGUAUUCUGGCGGGCAUGCCUGUUCGAGCGUCAUUACAACCCUCAGACCCCCGGGCCUGGCGUUGGGGAUCGGCGGAGCCCCCCGUGGGCACACGCCGUCCCCCAAAUACAGUGGCGGUCCCGCCGCAGCUUCCAUUGCGUAGUAGCUAACACCUCGCAACUGGAGAGCGGCGCGGCCACGCCGUAAAACACCCAACUUCUGAAUGUUGACCUCGAAUCAGGUAGGAAUACCCGCUGAACUUAAGCAUAUCAAUAAGCGGAGGAAAAGAAACCAACAGGGAUUGCCCCAGUAACGGCGAGUGAAGCGGCAACAGCUCAAAUUUGAAAUCUGGCUCUCGGGCCCGAGUUGUAAUUUGUAGAGGAUGCUUUUGGUGAGGUGCCUUCCGAGUUCCCUGGAACGGGACGCCAUAGAGGGUGAGAGCCCCGUCUGGUUGGACACCGACCCUCUGUAAAGCUCCUUCGACGAGUCGAGUUGUUUGGGAAU